rnacentral:rRNA from 1 species
UACGUAGGGUCCGAGCGUUGUCCGGAAUUAUUGGGCGUAAAGAGCUCGUAGGCGGUUUGUCGCGUCUGCUGUGAAAUCCCGAGGCUCAACCUCGGGCCUGCAGUGGGUACGGGCAGACUGGAGUGCGGUAGGGGAGAAUGGAAUUCCUGGUGUAGCGGUGGAAUGCGCAGAUAUCUGGAGGAACACCGGUGGCGAAGGCGGCAUCCUGGACCAAUUCUGACGCUGAUGAGCGAAAGCCAGGGGAGCAAACGGG